AUUGAACGCUGGCGGCAGGCCUAACACAUGCAAGUCGAACGGUAACAGGAAGAAGCUUGCUUCUUUGCUGACGAGUGGCGGACGGGUGUGUCAUGUCUGGGAAACUGCCUGAUGGAGGGGGAUAACUACUGGAAACGGUAGCUAAUACCGCAUAACGUCGCAAGACCAAAGAGGGGGACCUUCGGGCCUCUUGCCAUCGGAUGUGCCCAGAUGGGAUUAGCUAGUAGGUGGGGUAACGGCUCACCUAGGCGACGAUCCCUAGCUGGUCUGAGAGGAUGACCAGCCACACUGGAACUGAGACACGGUCCAGACUCCUACGGGAGGCAGCAGUGGGGAAUAUUGCACAAUGGGCGCAAGCCUGAUGCAGCCAUGCCGCGUGUAUGAAGAAGGCCUUCGGGUUGUAAAGUACUUUCAGCGGGGAGGAAGGGAGUAAAGUUAAUACCUGUGCUCAUUGACGUUACCCGCAGAAGAAGCACCGGCUAACUCCGUG
rnacentral:rRNA from 1 species